UUCUUUCAAAACGUCAAAAUCCAUUUUCCUGAAUAACCUUUAAAUCAAAAUACAAAGACACCAACAAAAACAACUUUCUUCAACCUUCUUCUCUAAUUCAAAUCAACAUUUGCCAUCCACCUCCUGCUUUAGAUCGAAGGAUGAUUGUAUAACGACGGUGUGCCGUUUUAAAUGUCAUGGUUCCGGUGAUUCCGGUGACAAAUAAGGUGAUUGAUGCGCCUUUCAGCGAUGAUGAAGGACGAUGGCAGAGGGCUUGCAUCGUCGGUGUGGAGGUUCUCGCGUCGGUCGGAAGUGUGGUUCAGAGGUAAGUUCCGUUUGGUUGUCGAUUCUCAACUCGGUAUCGAUUUCGAAUUUCGACUGUUUGCGAGUUUGGUCUGAGUUUGUUUGAGAUUUGUUUUUAUUGUUGUUUUGAUUCUUGAUUCAAUCCAAAAAUAGAUUCGAAUCUAUUUCGAUUUGUUAGUUUCGGUUCGGAUUUGGUUAGGACUGAUUUCAUACUACUAUUAUUUUCGAAUUGGUUUCGAUUCCCCUAUUAGUUAAAUUUUUAACUCGAUUCAAAACUGGUUGUCUUACUGUAUUCAUGUUGGAUGUUUCAAUGUUGGUUUCGAAUGGUUUCGACUUGAUUCAGUAUUGGUAUGACUUUAUUCCGGGUUAAUUUCGAACUUGUUUUUGUCUGGAUUUUUUUCAAUAAAUGGUUUGUGUUUUUUUUUGAAAAUUUCAGAGCAGUACAGGUUUAACUCGAAUGGUUGAGUUUGUUUUUAUCUUUUGACAGAUGAUAGUUAUUGGUUUUGAAACAGGUUUUUGAGUUAAUUUUGAAAAAGGAGUUAUGAGUUAAUUUUGAAACAGGUUUUGAUUUAGGUGUGAUUCUAGUUUGUUAAGGAGACCACAUGUUUAUUUGAAAGAAACAUUGCACGGUUUUUAUCUCGAAUGGUUGAGUUUGUUUUUAUCUUUUGACAGAUGAUAGUUAUUGGUUUUGAAACAGGUUUUUGAGUUAAUUUUGAAAAAGAAGUUAUGAGUUAAUUUUGAAAAAGGAGUUAUGAGUUAAUUUUGAAACAGGUUUUGAUUUAGGUGUGAUUCUAGUUUGUUAAGGAGACCACAUGUUUAUUUGAAAGAAAGAUUGCACGGUUUUACUGAAACAAAUAUACACGUUUUUUUUAUUAAAAAUGCAAAUUCUUAUUUAUUUUAUAACAAAGACAAAACAAAAUUGGCGAUAAUUGUAUAUUAUUGUAAUUAUGCAGGUUGCUAUUGGUUUAAGUUUGGUUAAUGUUGAUAUUGAUUUUAAGGAACAUGACUAAUAAAUUUUCUUAAAAACAUCAACAUAGAUUUACAAGUUUUUAUUCACAGGAACCUACAUUACACAAUAUUGAGGAUGAUCAGAUAAGAAAUUACCAUCCCGAAAGUUAUCGGGGGAAGAUGUCCACUUUCUCUGUCCUUGCCUCUCCUUUGACUUCUCUUCUCGUUCUUCUUUGGUUGCAGGGAUUGCCUACUGGGAUUUGGGUUGUAGAGAUGGUAACAACUUUAGGCAUAGUGAUUUUUUUUUUGUCAGAUGGUUGGACAUGUCUAUUUAUAAUAAAAUUAUAAGGUUAAAACAUUAAUUAAAAUAAAUCAAAAAAUCAAUGUUAAUAACUUCUAAUAAACAAAUAAUUAUUUCCUUGAUUUUAUGCAACAUAUAGAAUAUUUUGUGUUUAAUAUAUUUUUUAAUUUGGAAAAAGUUUCCAAACUAAAAUAAAUCAGAAAAUUUAAAAAUUAAGAAUUAGAAAUAUCAAUAAAAAUAAAAAUAAACGAAAAUUAAUAAAUAUAAAUUCCCUUUUUUAUUUUUUGACUUAUUUACUUACUCAUAUUGAUUAUUUCCAAAAAUAAAAAUAUUAUCCUAAAAAUAGAAUAAUCUAAAAAGAACAAAAUCUUUAAAUAUUUAUUGUAUAUCAAAUUAAAUUAAUAUCCUAAAAUGAUGAAAUGUUAAAUUAAAUUGAAUAAUAAAAUAUGAACACAAUUUUUCCAAUCUUUUUUUAAUGAUUUUUGGCUAUUUUUUAAAUAAAAAG
rnacentral:lncRNA from 1 species